rnacentral:snRNA from 1 species
AUGCUCGCUUUGGCAGCACAUAUACUAAAAUUGGAAUAAUGCAAAGAAGAUCAGCAUGGUGCCUGAACAAAGAUGACAGGCAAAUUCAUAAAGUGUUCCAUAUUUUU